UACGUAGGGUGCAAGCGUUAAUCGGAAUUACUGGGCGUAAAGCGUGCGCAGGCGGUUAUGUAAGACAGAUGUGAAAUCCCCGGGCUCAACCUGGGAACUGCAUUUGUGACUGCAUAGCUAGAGUACGGUAGAGGGGGGGAUGGAAUUCCGCGUGUAGCAGUGAAAUGCGUAGAUAUGCGGAGGAACACCGAUGGCGAAGGCAAUCCCCUGGACCUGUACUGACGCUCAUGCACGAAAGCGUGGGGAGCAAACGAGG
rnacentral:rRNA from 1 species